GUCCACGCUGUAAACGAUGAAAACUGGCUGUGCGGGACGUCAAGUUCUGCGUAGCGAAGCUAACGCGUUAAGUUUUCCGCCUGGGGAGUACGGUCGCAAGAUUAAAACUCAAAGGAAUUGACGGGGGCCCGCACAAGCGGUGGAGCAUGUGGUUUAAUUCGAUGCAACGCGAAGAACCUUACCUACCCUUGACAUCCCUCGAAUCCUGCUGAGAGGCGGGAGUGCCGAAAGGAAUGAGGAGACAGGUGCUGCAUGGCUGUCGU
rnacentral:rRNA from 1 species